UACGUAGGGGGGCAAGCGUUGUCCGGAUUUAUUGGGCGUAAAGAGCGUGUAGGCGGCCAUACAGGUCCGUUGUGAAAACUGGAGGCUUAACCUCCAGACGUCGAUGGAAACCGUAUGGCUAGAGUCCGGAAGAGGAGAGUGGAAUUCCUGGUGUAGCGGUGAAAUGCGCAGAUAUCAGGAAGAACACCCGUGGCGAAGGCGGCUCUCUGGGACGGUACUGACGCUGAGACGCGAAAAGCGUGGGGAGCGAACAGG
rnacentral:rRNA from 1 species